GACGAACGCUGGCGGCGUGCUUAACACAUGCAAGUCGAACGGAAAGGCCCUGCUUUUGUGGGGUGCUCGAGUGGCGAACGGGUGAGUAACACGUGAGUAACCUGCCCUUGACUUUGGGAUAACUUCAGGAAACUGGGGCUAAUACCGGAUAGGAGCUCCUGCUGCAUGGAGGGGGUUGGAAAGUUUCGGCGGUUGGGGAUGGACGCGCGGCUUAUCAGCUUGUUGGUGGGGUAGUGGCUUACCAAGGCUUUGACGGGUAGCCGGCCUGAGAGGGUGACCGGCCACAUUGGUACUGCGGUACGGCCCAGACUCCUACGGGAGGCAGCAGUGGGGAAUAUUGCACAAUGGGCGGACGCCUGAUGCAGCAACGCCGCGUUCGUGAUGACGGCCUUCUGGUUGUAAACCGCUUUCGCCUGUUACGAAGCGUGAGUGACGGUAAUGGGUAAAGAAGCACCGGCUAACUACGUG
rnacentral:rRNA from 1 species